UUCGCACAGAACCAAACUCGAUUGGGUGGUCGGCAGAUCACAAGGAGGGGAGAACUAAUCUCCGAUAGGCUUCCCUUGGUUCACUAUCUCUGUCUCUGGCAGCCACCAAUCAUGGAAAGGAAAGGAAUGAACGGAGGCAGCAGGGCUGUCGUCAAGUGGCAGCGAAGGCUGCUCCUACUUCUACCCGACAACAAUCACGUAGGGAGAGAAAAACUUCGGUCCUCCGUUGAUCGGAGAAGAAAGAAACACAAAAACAGGCAGAAAAUGGUCUGAUGGCUCUUAAUCGAUCGCACGGAGGGGUGAGGGUGUUUCAUCGAUGUUGGCGAUCUCCAAUCGGAUUCCAAGUAGUCACCAACAACUCAUACGUACGAAGAAGAGUAGCAGCAGCAGCAGGUGGUGGUGACCGGGUGGUGCUGCUACAGCGGCUUGCUGCUCUUCUCUUAUUGGAAGUGAACUCCAAGGAGUUGGGGGGGGGGGGGGGGGGGGGGGGGGGUGGAACGCAGGUGCAAUCGCCUAUCGGUGUGGGGGUGUUUGCAGGUUGAGCUUCGACGGAAAGGGUAGAGUUCGACAGGAGGAGGAGGGGUAGCUCCUCGAUGGUUCACCACAUCACCACCACUACCGGUGGGUGGUGAAAGAAGAAUGGAAGUAGCGAGUUAUCAGGAUGGGAAGAGGAUGAACAAGAAUGUGAACUGCCUUUUUUUUGGUUGGGUGCUAUAUGAAAAACACCUCCAUUUGAGUGUUCUUGGAUGUUGAAACAUAUGAAUGAGAAAGUUGUGUGGGUGUGGCUUCUCGGCAAUAAAGGCUGAGAGGAGUUGCGAGGGUGGUGAUUGGUGGUCUCCUGGCUCCACCGAUUGUCAAGAACAAGAGGAAGAGGGCUGCUCCAUUUCAGAGUUGUUUAACAGUGUUUGAUAUAAAUCAUAAAAAAAAUCUGAUUUUGCAAAGAUUGUGCUAGAUUGUAAUUGAUUGUGUUGGUACAAAAGAAAGAAAAAAAGAUUAGAUUAUAAAGAUAUUUUGGAUAAUAAUUCAAAAGGUAUGCAUUUUAUUUAUUUA